CCAAUAGCGUAUAUUAAAGUUGUUGCAGUUAAAAAGCUCGUAGUUGAAUUUCGGGGUUAGUAGGUUGGUCAUGCCUCUGGUAUGUACUGGUCUCACUGAUUCCUCCUUCCUGAUGAACCUUAAUGCCAUUAAUUUGGUGUUUUGGGGAAUUUGGACUGUUACUUUGAAAAAAUUAGAGUGUUUAAAGCAAGCUAACGCUUGAAUACAUUAGCAUGGAAUACUGAAAUAGGACGUUCGAUCCUAUUUUGUUGGUUUCUAGGAUUGACGUAAUGAUUAAUAGGGAUAGUUGGGGGCAUUAGUAUUCAAUUGUCAGAGGUGAAAUUCUUGGAUUUAUUGAAGACUAACUACUGCGAAAGCAUUUGCCAAGGAUGUUUUCAUUAAUCAAGAACGAAAGUUAGGGGAUCGAAGACGAUCAGAUACCGUCGUAGUCUUAACCAUAAACUAUGCCGACUAGGGAUCGGAUGAUGUUAAUUUUUUAAUGACUCAUUCGGCGCCUUACG
rnacentral:rRNA from 1 species